UACGUAGGGGCAAGCGUUGUCCGGAUUUAUUGGGCGUAAAGAGCGUGUAGGCGGCCAUGCAGGUCAGCUGUGAAACUCGAUGGCUACAACCUCGAGAUGUCGGUUGAACCGUGUGGCUAGAGUCCGGAAGAGGAGAGUGGAAUUCCCGGUGUGAGCGGUGAAAUGCGCAGAUAUCGGGAAGAACACCCGUGGCGAAGGCGGCUCUCUGGGACGGUACUGACGCUGAGACGCGAAAGCGUGGGGAGCGAACGAGG
rnacentral:rRNA from 1 species